AGCCAGACUCCUACGGGAGGCAGCAGUGGGGAAUAUUGCACAAUGGGGGAAACCCUGAUGCAGCGACGCCGCGUGAGCGAUGAAGUAUUUCGGUAUGUAAAGCUCUAUCAGCAGGGAAGAAAAUGACGGUACCUGGCUAAGAAGCCCCGGCUAACUACGUGCCAGCAGCCGCGGUAAUACGUAGGGAGCAAGCGUUAUCCGGAAUUAUUGGGUGUAAAGGGUGCGUAGACGGGAUAACAAGUUGGUUGUGAAACCCCUCGGCUCAACUGAGGAACUGCAACCAAAACUAUUAUUCUUGAGUGCAGGAGAGGAAAGUGGAAUUCCUAGUGUAGCGGUGAAAUGCGUAGAUAUUAGGAGGAACACCAGUGGCGAAGGCGGCCUGCUGGACGAUGACUGACGCUGAGGCUCGAAAGCGUGGGGAGCAAACAGGAUUAGAUACCCGAGUA
rnacentral:rRNA from 1 species